AGGGGCAGAGGUCUGGUGGCCAUGCUCGGGUUGGAUGAGCUCGGAGGUCGACGAGGGAUCAAAAUGCGGGACUGGAAUGCUGGACGGAGCGAGGGACUCUAGAAGCACAGAUAUCUGACCCUGAAGCUCGGCCACCUUUGCUGUCAAAGCAGUCACAUGAUUGUUUGACUACGACGAUGAAUGGGGUCUAGGUUCCCUCCACAGGGCAUUCCCCAUCCCUCGAUAAUAUGUCCCUAGCCUCCUCCCGAGAGUCUGAUCCAACGUUCCUGUCAAGAUCUGAAACCCAGCAUCCUGUGGAGGAUCCACAGACUCGAGCAGGGUAUCGGGAGGAAGUUGGGAGGUGGACUCCUGAAGAACCAACUGGCU
rnacentral:lncRNA from 1 species